rnacentral:rRNA from 1 species
UGAUAGCGAAGUUCUUUAGAACGAAGUUCCUGAUUUCACACUGCCAAGAAAAGCCUCUAUCGAGGUAAGAGGUGCCCGUACCGCAAACCGACACAGGUAGUCGAGGAGAGAAUCCUAAGGUGUGCGAGAGAACUCUCGUUAAGGAACUCGGCAAAAUGACCCCGUAACUUCGGGAGAAGGGGUGCUCUGGUAGGGUGCAAGCCCGAGAGAGCCGCAGUGAAUAGGCCCAAGCGACUGUUUAUCAAAAACACAGGUCUCUGCUAAACCGUAAGGUGAUGUAUAGGGGCUGACGCCUGCCCGGUGCUGGAAGGUUAAGAGGAGUGGUUAGCGCAAGCGAAGCUGCGAAUUGAAGCCCCAGUAAACGGCGGCCGUAACUAUAACGGUCCUAAGGUAGCGAAAUUCCUUGUCGGGUAAGUUCCGACCCGCACGAAAGGCGUAACGAUCUGGGCACUGUCUCAACGAGAGACUCGGUGAAAUUAUAGUACCUGUGAAGAUGCAGGUUACCCGCGACAGGACGGAAAGACCCCGUGGAGCUUUACUGUAGCCUGAUAUUGAAUUUUGAUACAUUUUGUACAGGAUAGGUAGGAGCCUGAGAAGCCGGAACGCCAGUUUCGGUGGAGGCGUUGUUGGGAUACUACCCCAAAUGUAUUGAACUUCUAACCCGCACCCCUUAUCGGGGUGGGAGACAGUGUCAGGCGGACAGUUUGACUGGGGCGGUCGCCUCCAAAAAGGUAACGGAGGCGCUCAAAGGUUCCCUCAGAAUGGUUGGAAAUCAUUCGCAGAGUGUAAAGGCACAAGGGAGCUUGACUGCGAGACCUACAAGUCGAGCAGGGUCGAAAGACGGACUUAGUGAUCCGGUGGUUCCGCAUGGAAGGGCCAUCGCUCAACG